GUCUGCUUCUCCCCAAGGCCAGAGGAAGAAAGGAAUCUCUUUCUCUGAGUCCUUUUGUUACAUACGAGCUUCCCUGGUGGCUCAGCGGUAAAGAUGCCACCUGCAAUGCAGGAGAUAUAAGAGACGCUGGUUCAAUCCCUGAGUUGGGAAGAUCCGCUGGAGGAGGGUAUGGCAACACAUUCCAGUAUUCUUGCCUGGAGAAUGCCAUGGACAGAGGUGCCAGGUGGACUACAGUCCACAGGGUCACAAAGAGUCGGACACGACUGAAGCAACUGAGCAUGCACGCACAUUACACACAGCAUUUUCUUAUUCUGUCUUCACAAGACACUAAGAAGGCAGUUUUCUCAGACACAGAGGUAGGUCCCCCGAGUUUGAUAUCCAGAGAUUACUUUCUUUUGAUUUCUCUGUAUUUGCUGAAUUUCAGGCCUGUGGAUUUCUACUGUCUUGCACACACACUCUGUUUCCCAUGGUACACUGUCUCCAGGGAACUUCGCUGGAUCUUGGACCCAGAGGUUUCCUUAAAGUAUAUGUGAGCAACACUGCCUUGAGGGGGCAGAAAAGACUUCACACAGGCUCAGAAAACAUUUGCACCUUGAGAAGAGCUCUGUGAGUUGGGCAGAGCAUGAAGCCCAUUGAGAUCUAUUGUACAGAUGAAGAACGGGUUCAAAAAAAUAAGUGACUUAUGCACAGCAAAGAAAACCAUAAACAAGCAGCUGCACAGGACAGCGGAUGCUGUCAGGCAUCUACUGGCAUUUGAAGAUAUUGCCUAAUCCAUCAGGGAAAGAGGCUGUGUUUGACCACACCAGGAACUCCAUCGCUUUACUAUUCAGAGCAUACCUUCCUUCGAGUUAAUGAAUAAUUUAAAAUGCUCAUCUCAUCUGUAUAUUAAUUAGCUGCUUGUUUUCAAAAGCUUUAAAUGACUGGC
ensembl:lncRNA